GCAUAUGUUGUCAGGUAAACAAUCUGCUUCUGUGUCAUUUCAUAUGAUCACUUUGACAGAAUGUUGCUUCGUUCUUUUUGCUAUAUUUGCUUUCAUUUUUUGCUAAAUAUUUCAUCAUUUGAUAUUUUUUGUUCUUGGAAUUCUUUUCUCAUAACUAGAAGGUCCUGGUGAUGUAAGUCCAGCAGAGAUAUUUGUUGCUAACUCCAAGGUGAAGGAAGGUCAAGAAGUGAAAUUUAAGUGCAAAGUUACUGAUGUGAGAGCACAGAUGGUUUAUGUGCACCUCUGCGCGAGUGGUACCACAGUGAAGAUAGCAGAACUUGAAGAAACUAAAGAUGAUGUAAUGUUUGUCUUUGACAAAGUUACUGUGAAAGAUUCAGGCUUGUACACCUGCGUUUAUUCUUUGGAGAAAGAUGCUGCAUGUAAGAUGAAUAUAAUAGGACGUAACUCAGCCUCACUGGAAGUUUCUGACAUUUUGCCAGCGAAGAUUACAGGAGAAAAGAGCUCUUUAAGAGAGGGUGAAGACCUGACGCUGACGUGCAGCAUCACAGGGCAUCAAAGCUGCUCUGAAGUCUAUGUUUACUUGUGUUUAAAUGGAAUCGGGAACAGCACCAGGACAGUGAACUGUAGCAUUAAAUCUACUACUACAACAUUCCUUCUAAAAAAUGUCAAACAACAACAGUCUGGUAACUAUAGCUGUGUGUAUUCGACUUCUAAUUACUCUCUCAGUGAGGUGAGAAAGACUGGAGAAAACUCCAUCUAUGUUGAAGUGCAUGACCUUAUAUCUGAAGAUGGAGGGCUGUCUAAUGCUAUAAUACUUUUAAUAGUUGCAGUAGCAUUUGCACUGGGAAUAUUUAUGUUUUUACCAUGCCGACACAUUAUUACGUUGAGUAAGUACAGUGUGAUUGCCAGCCUCACCACACAUAACAUUUAGAUAAAUGUGUCAUUAACUAUGCUUUAUCAAAUUCUUUGGAUGAAAAAGGCCACUUUAUUUAAUUCACGAUCACCACAGACAUAGACACAAACUUUAUCUUCCAAUUCUCUUCAUAUAUUGUCACGUCCAAAACCAAAAAAAUGAAUCUCCAAAAUAGCAACUUUACAGGAGAAGGCAAAAUACCUUUUACUUUUAAUAUAAGUUAGUGUAAUCCAAGCAAUUUUGAAGCAUUUCUUUUGGUCACCAUG
ensembl:lncRNA